GCCCAGACUCCUACGGGAGGCAGCAGUGAGGAAUAUUGGUCAAUGGGCUUACGCCUGAACCAGCCAAGUCGCGUGAGGGAAGACUGCCCUAUGGGUUGUAAACCUCUUUUGUCAGGGAGCAAUUGGCGCUACGUGUAGCGUUAUCGAGAGUACCUGAAGAAAAAGCAUCGGCUAACUCCGUGCCAGCAGCCGCGGUAAUACGGAGGAUGCGAGCGUUAUCCGGAUUUACUGGGUGUAAAGGGAGCGUAGGCGGUUUAGCAAGUCAGAAGUGAAAGCCCGGGGCUCAACUCCGGGACUGCUUUUGAAACUGUUGAACUAGGUUGCAGGAGAGGUAAGUGGAAUUCCUAGUGUAGCGGUGAAAUGCGUAGAUAUUAGGAGGAACACCAGUGGCGAAGGCGGCUUACUGGACUGUAAAUGACGCUGAGGCUCGAAAGCGUGGGGAGCAAACAGGAUUAGAUACCCCCGUA
rnacentral:rRNA from 1 species